rnacentral:rRNA from 1 species
GACGAACCGUGCGAACGUUAUUCGGAAUCACUGGGCUUAAAGGGCGCGUAGGCGGGCUGACAAGUCUGGGGUGAAAUCCCGCGGCUCAACCGUGGAACUGCCUUAGAUACUGUCGGCCUCGAGGAAGGUAGGGGCAUGCGGAACUGUAGGUGGAGCGGUGAAAUGCGUUGAUAUCUACAGGAACUCCGGUGGCGAAAGCGGCGUGCUGGACCUUUUCUGACGCUGAGGCGCGAAAGCUAGGGGAGCAAACGGGG